rnacentral:rRNA from 1 species
GAAGUAAAAGUCGUAACAAGGUUUCCGUAGGUGAACCUGCGGAAGGAUCAUUAUCGUACAAUGGAGGUGCUGGGGCUGUCGCUGACCUUUAAAAAGGGUCGUGCACGCCCGGAGCACUCUCUCAUAUCCAUCUCACCCCUUUGUGCAUUGCCGCGUGGGUCCCCUGAAACAAAGGGGGACCUGCGUUUUUACAUAGACACCCUUUGAAUGCAUGUGUAGAAYGUCUUACGAUAUCAAUACAACUUUCAACAACGGAUCUCUUGGCUCUCGCAUCGAUGAAGAACGCAGCGAAAUGCGAUACGUAAUGUGAAUUGCAGAAUUCAGUGAAUCAUCGAAUCUUUGAACGCACCUUGCGCCCCUUGGUAUUCCGAGGGGCACACCCGUUUGAGUGUCGUGAAUACUCUCAACCUUCUUGGUUUCUUUGACCAAAAAGGCUUGGACUUUGGAGGUUUUUCUUGCUGGCCUCUUUUGAAGCCAGCUCCUCCUAAAUGAAUGGGUGGGGUCCGCUUUGCUGAUCCUCGACGUGAUAAGCAUUUCUUCUACGUCGUGUCAGCUCGGAACCCGCUUUCCAACUGUCUUUGGAGACAAAGACCUUUUACAAACCUUGACCUCAAAUCGGGUGAGACUACCCGCUGAACUUAAGCAUANNNNNNAGCGGAGGAAAAGAAACUAACAAGGAUUCCCYYAGUAACUGCGAGUGAAGCGGGAAAAGCUCAAAUUUAAAAUCUGGUGGUCUUUGGCCAUCCGAGUUGUAAUUUAGAGAAGCGUCUUCCGCGCUGGGCCGUGCACAAGUCUCCUGGAAUGGAGCGUCAUAGAGGGUGAGAAUCCCGUCUUUGGCACGGACCCCCAGGGCUUCUGUGAUGCGCUCUCGACGAGUCGAGUUGUUUGGGAAUGCAGCUCAAAAUGGGUGGUGAACUCCAUCUAAAGCUAAAUAUUGGCGAGAGACCGAUAGCGAACAAGUACCGUGAGGGAAAGAUGAAAAGCACUUUGGAAAGAGAGUGAAACAGUACGUGAAAUUGUUGAAAGGGAAACGCUUGAAGUCAGUCGCGUCGACCGAGACUCAGCCUUGCCUCGGCUUGGUGUACUUCUCGGCUUGACGGGUCAGCAUCAAUUUUGAUCCUUGGAUAAUGGCAAGGGAAAGGUAGCACCUUUUUAGGUGUGUUAUAGUCCUCUGUCGCAUGCAAGGGUCAGGAUUGAGGAACUCAGCAUGCACCUUUGGGUGUCGGGGCCUUGGCCCACGUUACGUGCUUAGGAUGCUGGCAUAAUGGCUUUAAACGACCCGUCUUGAAACACGGACCAAGGAGUCUAACAUACCYGCGAGUGUUCGGGUGGAAAACCCGUGCGCGUAAUGAAAGUAAAAGUUGGGACCUCUGUCGUGGAGGGCACCGACGCCCGGACCAGACCUUCUGUGACGGCUCUGCGGUAGAGCGUGUAUGUUGGGACCCGAAAGAUGGUGAACUAUGCCUGAAUAGGGUGAAGCCAGAGGAAACUCUGGUGGAGGCUCGUAGCGAUUCUGACGUGCAAAUCGAUCGUCAAAUUUGGGUAUAGGGGCGAAAGACUAAUCGAACCAUCUAGUAGCUGUCC